rnacentral:tRNA from 1 species
AGGCGUAAUUCAAUGGUAGAAUGACAGCUUCCCAAGCUGUAUACGCGGGUUCGAUUCCCGUCGCCUG